rnacentral:rRNA from 1 species
ACGAACGCUGGCGGCGUGCCUAAUACAUGCAAGUCGAGCGGACUGAAUGGGAGCUUGCUCUUGUUCGGUCAGCGGCGGACGGGUGAGUAACACGUGGGCAACCUGCCCGCAAGACCGGGAUAACUCCGGGAAACCGGAGCUAAUACCGGAUAACACCGAAGACCGCAUGGUCUUUGGUUGAAAGGCGGCGCAAGCUGCCACUUGCGGAUGGGCCCGCGGCGCAUUAGCUAGUUGGUGAGGUAACGGCUCACCAAGGCGACGAUGCGUAGCCGGCCUGAGAGGGUGACCGGCCACACUGGGACUGAGACACGGCCCAGACUCCUACGGGAGGCAGCAGUAGGGAAUCUUCCGCAAUGGGCGAAAGCCUGACGGAGCGACGCCGCGUGAGCGAAGAAGGCCUUCGGGUCGUAAAGCUCUGUUGUGAGGGACGAAGGAGCGCCGUUUGAAGAAGGCGGCGCGGUGACGGUACCUCACGAGGAAGCCCCGGCUAACUACGU